rnacentral:sRNA from 1 species
GGAGAUGUCAGCGGGGGAGUGCGAGAUUACCAGGUACGGAACACUUUGUCUUUCUUGAAUUGGCCACGCCAGCAGAACAGCCAUGUUCCAACACAGACUGCUGGCUCCAAGGCAACAGCUUCUGUUGAGAAGAUACUUGUUGUGGUUGAUCUGUCUAGUCAUUACUCUAUAGCCGUGAAGAGCAGGCAUGCCUGGUGCCUGGGUCAAGCUGUCCCUGCAGACCUUGGGGACACUGUGUGAACCAGGCCAGGUGUAGGGGGUCUCUCUUGCUUUGGCCUUGGAGAGUCCUCUCUGGGGUGGAAGUGGACCAGCAUCAAGGGUCUGCUCAUAUACAGUUUUUCUUCUUUUAAUUAUAAUCUCUCAGUACUUUAGGCUACCCUUUUCCUGCGUGUUCUCAAAUGAAAAGACACUGAUGUCUUAGCCAAUAGGAGAGAGCAGUUUGCCCUCAUGACAUUCCUUUCUCACUAGAACCUAAAACUUGUUUAAAAAAAGAAA